rnacentral:rRNA from 1 species
CGUUCCCGGGUCUUGUACACACCGCCCGUCACACCACGAAAGUCGGCAAUACCCGAAGCCGGUGGCCUAACCCGUAUAGGAGGGAGCCGUCGAAGGUAGGGUCGAUGAUUGGGGUG